rnacentral:rRNA from 1 species
UACAGAGGAUGCAAGCGUUAUCCGGAAUGAUUGGGCGUAAAGCGUCUGUAGGUGGCUUUUUAAGUCCGCCGUCAAAUCCCAGGGCUCAACUCUGGACAGGCGGUGGAAACUACUAAGCUGGAGUACGGUAGGGGCAGAGGGAAUUUCCGGUGGAGCGGUGAAAUGCGUAGAGAUCGGGAAGAACACCAGCGGCGAAAGCGCUCUGCUGGGCCGACACUGACGCUGAGAGACGAAAGCUAGGGGAGCGAAUGGG